rnacentral:siRNA from 1 species
AGAGCCGCUUUGAGGUUCCCUA